rnacentral:ncRNA from 1 species
GCAAAAACAUGGAAGAGGAAUAGUAGGAGUGUAUCGUAUUCAGAGAACUGCCGGUCGGUGCGAGGCAGAAACGUAAACUGUGAACUCACCUCGGAGUUCUUUCGUUGAACUUCAAGUAGACGAAAGCGGGAAUUCCCGUUAUAGAAUGAAUGAGUGCAUUUGGUCGGAUGAGGAUACAGGAACAAAAAAGUUUUCCCGGUCCGGUCGGAUGAACAAGAGUGGUACCACGGAAAUAAGCCUUUUCGUCUCUUGA